rnacentral:ncRNA from 1 species
AUAAUGCAAACUCAUCAGGCUGCAAAGCAGCCGGGCCUUACGGCAGCAGAUUAUACCUACAUCUGCGGGACAAAA